rnacentral:rRNA from 1 species
UGAAUACGAGACGCUAAGGCGUCGAAGUAGUGUAUGUCAUACUUCCAAGAAAAGCUUGCACUGUCAUAGAUAAAAAACGCCUGUACCAUAACCGACACAGGUGGGUAGGUAGAGUAUACUAAGGGGCGCGAGAUAACUCUCUCUAAGGAACUCGGCAAAAUAACUCCGUAACUUCGGGAGAAGGAGUGCCUUAUUCGUAAGGUUGCAAUAACAAGAUCCAAGCAACUGUUUAUCAAAAACACAGGUCUCCGCUAAGUCGUAAGACGAUGUAUGGGGGCUGACGCCUGCCCAGUGCCAGAAGGUUAAAGAAGUUGGUUAGCAAUUGCGAAGCUGAUAACUGAAGCCCUGUGAACGGCGGCCGUAACAAUAACGGUCCUAAGGUAGCGAAAUUCCUUGUCGGGUAAGUUCCGACCCGCACGAAAGGCGUAAUGAUUUGAAUACUGUCUCGGAGAGGGGCUCGGUGAAAUAGACUUGUCUGUGAAGAUGCGGACUACCUGCACCAGGACAGAAAGACCCUAUGAAGCUUUACUGUAACUUGAAAUUGAAAUUGGACUUUAUUCGCGCAGUAUAGGUGGGAGGCGUUGAUUAUAAUCUUGUGGGAUUAUUGGAGCCAUCAGUGAGAUACCACUCUUGUAAUGUUAGAUUUCUAACUUUGAAUCAUUAUCUGGUCAAAGAACAGUUUCAGGCGGGCAGUUUGACUGGGGCGGUCGCCUCCUAAACGGUAACGGAGGCGUACAAAGGUUUCCUCUGAACGGUUAGAAAUCGUAUCUAGAGUGUAAAGGCAUAAGGAAGCUUGACUGUGAGACCUACAAGUCGAGCAGGGACGAAAGUCGGUCUUAGUGAUCUGACGGUACUGAGUGGAAAGGCCGUCACUCAACGGAUAAAAGUUACUUAGGAUAACAGGCUGAUCUCCCCCAAGAGUUCACAUCGACGGGGAGGUUUGGCACCUCGAUGUCGGCUCAUCGCAUCCUGGGGCGGUAGUACGUCCCAAGGGUUGGGCUGUUCGCCCAUGAAAGCGGUACGCGAGCUGGGUUCAGAACGUCGUGAGACAGUUCGGUCCAUAUCCGGUGUAGGCGUUAGAAUAUUGAGAGGAGCCUUCUUUAGUACGAGAGGACCGAGAAGGACAUACCUCUGGUGUACCAGUUAUCGUGCCAACGGUAAACGCUGGGUAGCUAUGUAUGGAGUGGAUAACCGCUGAAAGCAUCUAAGUGGGAAGCCCACCUCAAGAUAAGUAUUCCC